GGAGAAGUAUCACUAAGCUGAGAUACCGAGUGGGGGGAGCAAACGCUGGAUAAGCUGGAGACUGAUGCACCGGCUGACUUGUCUGUAUGGGAAAAGAGAGAUUUCUCCUUUUAAACGCGGUUAGCGAAAACAACUUUGAACAUCGCAAAAGGAGAUGACGUGGUCCUGUUGGCCCCCUCUAGCCAAGACCUACAGCAUGCGCUGGGGCGGUUC